rnacentral:miRNA from 14 species
GGUUUCUCUGUGUGGCCGUGGCUGUUCUGGAACUCACUCUGUAGACCAGGCUGGCCUCAAAGUCAGAAAUCCACCUGCCUCUGCCUCCUGAGUGCUGGGAUUAAAGGCAUGAGCCACCACUGCCUG